rnacentral:rRNA from 1 species
UACAGAGGUGGCAAGCGUUGUUCGGAAUUACUGGCGUAAGGGCGCGUAGGCGGCCAUCUAAGUCAGACGUGAAAUCCCCGGCUUAACCUGGAACUGCGUCUGAUACUGGAAGGCUUGAGUAUGGAGAGGAUGGUAGAAUUCCAGGUGUAGCGGUGAAAUGACGUAGAUAUCUGGAGGAAUACCGGUGGCGAAGGCGGCAUCCUGGACCAUUACUGACGCUGAGGCGCGAAAGCUAGGGAGCAAACGGG